GGCGUGGGAAUGUUGUGUAGUGGGCAUGGAAAUGUUGCGUAGUGGGAAUGUUGUGUAGUGGGCGUGGGAAUGUUGUGUAGUGGGCGUG